rnacentral:SRP_RNA from 1 species
GCUCUUUGCUGUAGUGCGCUAUGCCGAUCAGGUGUCCACACUAAGUUCGGCAUCAGUGCGGUGACCUCCUGGGAGCAGGAGUGGGGAGGGUUAGGGAGAGUGGGGAGGGUUAGGGAGAGUGGGGAGGGUUAGGGAGGGUGGGAGGGUUAGGGAGGGUGGGGGGGUUCCAGGCUGCCUAAGGAGGGGUGAACGGACCUAGGUCGGAAACGGAGCAGGUCAAAACUCCUGUGCUGAUCAGUAGUGGGAUCGUGCCUGUGAACAGCCACUGCAUUCCAAC